rnacentral:rRNA from 1 species
UACGAAGGGGGCUAGCGUUGUUCGGAUUUACUGGGCGUAAAGCGCACGUAGGCGGAUCGUUAAGUCGGGGGUGAAAUCCUGGAGCUCAACUCCAGAACUGCCUUCGAUACUGGCGAUCUUGAGUCCGGUAGGGGAGGCAUGGAAUUCCUGGUGUAGCGGUGAAAUGCGCAGAUAUCAGGAGGAACACCAGUGGCGAAGGCGGUGCUCUGGGCCGGAACUGACGCUGAGGAGCGAAAGCGUGGGGAGCAAACAGG